GCUGAGAGAGGAAUAGUGAAUAUAAACUUGAUUAUCUCAGAAACAAUGCAGAAUUUUAUUUAAUUGUAUUCAUAAAAUUUCUUAUUUUAGUACUAUGAAGCUAAUAUAAAAUUUUCAUUUCUGUGAUUUCCCUGUUUGGCCUAGCAAGUGCAGAGAGCUGUUGUGCUCAUUGCAGGCCCCCCUUUGACUCGCUCCAACACUGAUGCUUUAAGUGGAAGAGGGCACACUUUUCUUUGAAAAAAGAAAAUGUAGCAUGGAAAUUAAAGAAACUUGACAGAGACACUAAAGAUUACACUGCUGGCACUGUGUAUACCUGGCAAAGCGAUUCCCAGAGGUAGCAGACCCGCAAAGAGAGAAGUUUUGGACUGCGGGGAAACCAGGAGACCAGGAGAUUUACUGACUACACAGCUCAAGUGAACUUCACCAUACCAAAACACUGAUGGUAACACGGACGAACUGGCAAGCACCGGGACGGACCGUGACACCAGCAGUGAGAGGAGAACCUUGGGCAGAGGAGAGGGGAACAACUUGCAGGUUCCUCAAGGCGCAAAGGAAACAGGAGCAGGUGGAGAGUGUGCCAUAUUCCAGCGGAGGUCAGAACACAAACCAAACAAGCUUUAAUUUUACUGGCCACAAUGAUUACUGCGGACAACAAUACGUUUACAGAGAUGAUCAAAAAAAAGUUGGGGGCUACCUUCACAUACCAUGGACUAUAUUAACACUGGACUGAAAAACAACUAGUAUGGUUUGCGCAUAGAGAGUGGCCUUAAGGUGGCCAUACACGGGCAGAUUUUUUACUUCCAAGCGACCGAUUCCAGAAAGUUCCGAUAAUAUCGAUAACCUAUCGGAUGAUUGAUGGUGUACGAACGACCUUCAGACAAACCAUCGUCUCAACAUUAUCGUUUGCAAAAUUGAUCGGAUGAGUUUAAAAAUGUUAGUCGUUCAGGGAUAAAAUUCCUAUUUGCGCAUGUCAGGAUUGUAGUACAAGCCAAGGAACAUAUAUGGAAGGACACAAACGUUCUUUGCUGAAAGCUUCAUUUUUAACCAUGUGAACUAUGUCAAGAAAUAAAUUGGUGCUGACUGCAGGAAUAUCACCCUAUCAACUCAUAUGUGAAAGAAGUUUAUUAUGCUAUAGCAAGACAUAAAUCCAUAUGUUUGCAUGGAGCAGGGAAGUAGAAACUGACUAUAUACUACAGACAAUGACACAAUGCUAGCACCACUCCUCGUUUGUUGAACAGUGUUCCUCUGUACAAGAAGCAAACAAUAC